AUACGGAGGGUGCAAGCGUUGUUCGGAAUUAUUGGGCGUAAAGCGCGCGUAGGCGGCUUGGUAAGUCGGAUGUGAAAGCCCGGGGCUCAACCCCGGAAUUGCAUUCGAAACUGCCUGGCUAGAGUUUCGGAGAGGAGGGCGGAAUUCCCGGUGUAGAGGUGAAAUUCGUAGAUAUCGGGAGGAACACCAGUGGCGAAGGCGGCCCUCUGGACGAUGACUGACGCUGAGGUGCGAAAGCGUGGGGAGCAAACAGGAUUAGAUACCCCAGUAGUCC
rnacentral:rRNA from 1 species